CGUAGGGACCGAGCGUUGUCCGGAUUCAUUGGGCGUAAAGAGCUCGUAGGCGGCCACUCAAGUCGAAUGUGAAACCUCGAGGCUUAACCUCGAGCCUGCAUUCGAUACUGGGCGGCUAGAGUCUGGUAGGGGGAGUCUGGAAUUCCUGGUGUAGCGGUGGAAUGCGCAGAUAUCAGGAGGAACACCGGUGGCGAAGGCGGGAUCCUGGGCCAGUACUGACGCUGAGGAGCGAAAGCGUGGGGAGCAAACAGGAUUAGAUACCCUGGUAGUCCACGCCGUAAACGAUGGGCGCUAGGUGUGGGAGGUCAUCGACUCCUUCCGUGCCGCAGCUAACGCAUUAAGCGCCCCGCCUGGGGAGUACGGCCGCAAGGCUA
rnacentral:rRNA from 1 species